rnacentral:lncRNA from 10 species
AUAUGUGGUUACUUUAUUCUAACAAUUAGAUUAUUUCCAUAAUAUAAAAAGUUAUCUUUCAAGUCUAACCUAAUUGCAGUAGCAAACUGGAUAAAGUCAGGAGUUACUGUCAAGAAGCAGAUUCACAGUCUAAUUAAGGAACAUUAACCACCCUCUGGGUAAGAGUCCUUAUACCACCUGACCAGCAGGAUUUCAGAAUUACUAGGGAUGUGUGACAGUUCUGUGUUCCUCAUUCAUCCCUUUUCCAAAUGAGGUAUUCUUCUGUCCCUAUACCACUAGAAUCUGAUAUAAAUAGUACUGUGCAUCAUUCAGAUAUUUGGACAUUCAGUUUGACUGUGAGAGUGGAUGAGAGCUUAAUGUGGUCUUUCUUUGGGGAUGAAUAAGUGCAUUUUUUGCCUAGGGGAAGAAGGGUAGUAGUCUAGUAUUUGGUGACCAGAAGGAUAAACUUUGGUAGUCUUAGGGAAUGCUGUCACCAGUUUUUCCAAAUUUCUGCCUUAGAGGCAAAAAGAUGAUUGUGUUUCCUGGACCUCUUGUGGUUAAGAGGUGCCAUAUGACUUGU